rnacentral:rRNA from 1 species
CCUACGGGAGGCUGCAGUGGGGAAUAUUGGACAAUGGGGGCAACCCUGAUCCAGCCAUGCCGCGUGUGUGAAGAAGGCCCUCGGGUUGUAAAGCACUUUCAGUGAGGAAGAACGCCUGGUGGUUAAUACCCAUCAGGAAAGACAUCACUCACAGAAGAAGCACCGGCUAACUCCGUGCCAGCAGCCGCGGUAAUACGGAGGGUGCGAGCGUUAAUCGGAAUUACUGGGCGUAAUGCGCGCGUAGGUGGCUUGAUAAGCCGGUUGUGAAAGCCCCGGGCUCAACCUGGGAACGGCAUCCGGAACUGUCAAGCUAGAGUGCAGGAGAGGAAGGUAGAAUUCCCGGUGUAGCGGUGAAAUGCGUAGAGAUCGGGAGGAAUACCAGUGGCGAAGGCGGCCUUCUGGACUGACACUGACACUGAGGUGCGAAAGCGUGGGUAGCAAACAGGAUUAGAUACCCGAGUAGUC